rnacentral:misc_RNA from 1 species
UCCCAGUUUAUCUGGGCAGUCUAACUUGAGUGCGCGGCGAAUGCCGGUGGCAACAAGUCACGAGGGUUGCGCUCGUUGCGGGACUUAACCCAACAUCUCACGACACGAGCUGACGACAGCCAUGCAGCACCUGUGCAAAGCGCGUAUUGCUACGCUGUUCGGCUUUCACCGAAGUUACAAUGCAUGUCAAGCCCAGGUAAGGUUCUUCGCGUUGCAUCGAAUUAAGCCACAUACUCCACCGCUUGUGCGGGUCCCCGUCAAUUUCUUUGAGUUUUAAUCUUGCGAUCGUACUUCCCAGGCGGCGCGUUUAUCGCGUUAGCUACGGCACGGAAGGGGUCAAUUCCUCCCAUACCAAACGCGCACCGUUUACAGCUAGGACUAC